rnacentral:rRNA from 1 species
UACGAGGGGGGCAAAUGUUGUUCGGAAUCACUGGGCGGAAAGGGAGCGUAGGCGGGUGUUUAAGUUAGGUGUUUAAUCCUGGGGCCCAACCCCAGUCGUGCACCUAAAACUGGACAUCUUGAAUAGUGGAGAGGUCAGUGGAAUUGGGGGUGUAGCGGUGGAAUGCGUAGAGAUCCCCAAGAACACCAGUUGCGAAGGCGGCUGACUGGACACAUAUUGACGCUGAGGCUCGAAAGCAUGGGGAGCAAACAGG